CCCUCUGCCCGAGCUCCGGUGCGCUCCAGGUGCGGGCUGCGGCUCGAAGGAUGUUGAGAUCCGGCGGUGAAGGGUGUUCCAGAGAUGCCGCAUGCUGCGGGUGCUACGUGGAUCGCUAUGCCUUUGGAUGCGAACGGUCUGUCAUUGGUCUUGCCCGUACAAAGCAGGCUUCCCAAUGCCUGCAAAUAAGUACGGUGCUAGCUUUUCUGUUACUUUCGUCCUAAAAUGUGUAAAUCAGUUUUUUUCCCACCCUCUGAAUGUUACUCAUAUUUUCCAGUUACAAAGGGUUUAGCUGAUAAAGAUUAAAAAUAAAUGAGCGUUUAUGUUUCUAGGAAACACUUAGUAAGCAAAUAGUUAACGUGGUGCUUUAGGAUGAAAACUUGUGCUGUGAGGAAGUCCACGGCACUUCCACACUUACACAAGAGUGUAUAAAACUGACAGGAAGUUGCAGUGAGGCUUCUGGCAAGGAGAGUGGGUGUGGAGGAAGCAGAGGCUUUUCUGUUUGUAGGACAGAGAUAGAAAAGGCAGACCAUAUGACUUCAGAAUCUGUGGGAAGAUGCUAAAGCUCAGAGCAGGGUCAAAGGAUGACCAGUGAAACGAACUGUCCUUGGUAGGGAACACUUCAUCGAGAUACAGGGUAUCCAGAAGGUGAUGCACUUUAAAAAAACAUUUUUCUUUUACACUUGCUCCCAAAUCCUGAACAUCAUAAAAUCUCUUCCAAGUCCAAUCUCUUGGUGUUUUACAGCUUAAACCCUUGUGUAAAUGAUAAUGAGUCCCUGUAAAUGAUGGAUAAUGCAAGAGAGCUCUGGUUGUGAGAAAUCAAGUUUCUCAGCAAGGCAUCCUAUGCAGGACAAAAAUCAUUAAUGAGACGAAUAGGUGAAAUACAUCCUUUCAAGUGAAAAUCAGAAAAGCAUUUCAUGCAGUUAUUAGCUGUGUAGCAUAUUAGCUCACCAGACAGAAAAGUACUUGUGUUCUUAUUUUUUUCUGUCACUAGAUAUUAUCAGCGCCCAGAAAUAUUCAGAGGAAAAGAACAAAGAUGUAUAUCCUCAGCCUUCACAACUUUAUUCAGUGAACUAGGUUAAUCACAAACAAUUUGCAGCAUUCCAGGAAUAUGUCAUUAAUGUAAUAGUAUUUUAUGGUGUGCCUUUCAUUGUUCUGUGUUUUAUAGGCUCUGGGGCAAAUCCUGUUCUUCGCCAUACAAUAGGAAAAGAAGAAAGUGACCUUUGGGUGUCUUGAGUAAAUCUCUGUGAGCAGAUCCUGGUGUUUUGAGUUUCAUAUAGGGGUAUCUGGAACUUAGUAUUUUACAAGAAGUGUAUAUACACUUAUAUAAACAUACGGUUUGCUUAAUAAAGACAUGUUUGGAGAUUGAUCACUAUAACCAGAAGAAAUAGGCAAUUAAGAUUCAUUCUAAGCAAGAGACCGAAUGUUCCCUCUACCCAACUGUCUCAGCCACAUAGUUUGGAUGUAAAUUGGGCCUUUAGUUUUGGAUUUUCCUAUGAAUCAUUUAGCUAAUCUUCAGCACAAUUCUUAAACCAGCUUUACUCAUGUUGGUGUGACAGGCAAAUAGCAAUCGGUGUGCUUGUUAAGCAUACUCACCCAGUACUUCACAGUGCUUGUUCUCCUCAGCUUGCUCAGUUUCCUACGUGCCUAAUCACUGACGGUCACUCAAGCAGCUGAACAAGUGCUGACAUUUCACUAUGAUAGAGCAACUCCGCAGAGAACCAGGAAUCUGGGUGAAAUGAGGGGGAUAUGGCUGCAGCGUUGUUGUGUUGAAUAGGAACAACACAGACACAUGCUUUAGUGGGCCUGCCUGUGCCCAGCACUGAUCUGGAAUUUUUAGAAGAAGGUCAAACUGUUUACUGAACAAAAAGCACUAGAGACCUGCUUAUGCACAUAAAUCUUAACAUCAAAUAGAUUUUUCUAAAGCACUGUAGCACUUGUCCUUUGUGCUGUAUUCUGUGUCUCCCAAUUUACCAAUUGCCUGCAUGUACUUCAAAGCCCUUUAAUUUCAAUGACCAGUGCUUAGCUAAGGUAGUCCAGUCUGGUCAUCACUAACACAGUGAGCCAUAUGAUAAUGUCAUGGCUGUUGUGGUGAACAAGAGAACAUAGUAGAUCCCCUCUGAUGGAAGAUGAGGAGGAAAAUACUGAGAAAUCUUGUUAAAGUUCAGUGGAAUUACUGGGGGAGUAAGGUGGAGGUUGAUGAUUAUUGGGUGAAAACAAAGUAAUAUUUUUUAAAUGAUUCUUUAAUAAAAGCUUGGCAGGGCAGCUUUUGGUCACCUCCAUGUAAUUUUCCUAACUUUGCCUGCAUUGUUUUCACUGGGACUGCAUUGGUGUUGGAGUGAAGAAUGUGGCACUACGUGUAUUGCAGUUUCAUUGCUGCUGUAACACAGCCAUCCCUGGGACAGAAUGCAGAGCUGGCUUGAGCCAGCAAACUCUAAAGUUAAAUGGGUAUGUGGUGCCAGGGAAUACAGUGCUGGCUGCAUGCCAGCUAGCUGUGAGCUUUUCUAGAAAUUUGUCCUGAAGGGAAAAGAAACACCAUUUGGUAAAUCCUAAGAGGAUGCUUUGCUUUGAGGGGAGCUAAUUUCUCAUCUUUUAAGGUGAAUGGACUGAAAGGGAUCAGUUCUUAGCUCUACAACUCGGCUGUUCCAGCAAGAGAAUGGUUACUAGAUCAGAAUGUGCUCUGGAUCAUGAGAGCAAUAAAGAGAAAACUUCUUCAACACUAAAGAAAAAUAACAUAUUUUUGAGACAUAGAAAUUCAGGAGUCCCAAGAGUUUUAAUUGCCUCUGCACUACACAGAAUCUUCUGUUUCAAUGUCGAGCAACAUUAAGUUUGAACUCCAGACAGGAUUUCUACAUUCAGAGAAGGCUGGUGAAGAGGAGGCCUGUGAAUCACUACCAGAGACAGGGACAGAAUGGAAGCUGUAGCCCUGGUGUUGCAUUUCCUUCCAUGAAAAUGAUCCUCCUGUUGCCCUGGUGCUGUGUUUCACAUGCUAAGGUGAUACUCCAUGGGCUAUGCUGGUUGUGCAGCCUGUUUGUGUGCCCCAUGUGGCAUUUCCAAAUUCAAUUCAAAUUAAAGAAGACACGGGGCCAUGAUUUUAAUGAUGUGACAUCAAAUAAAGCUUCUAAUUUGUUUUAA